GGAUUUCUCCAAAAGUAGUGAAGAUGAGUGAUGUGGUCGCACACAAAGAGUCUUGUCUCGGCUGUGUCCUGCGGGAUAUUUUUGGUUUAGUUUUUUAUGCUGUGAAAUUAUGCGGAAACUUACUGCGCUUCAUUGGAUGGACAGUGAGCGAAGCUGGAAAAUUGAUUUGUGACUGUACAACGUGUUUUCAGGAUUGGUUUAAUAAGUUCGUAGAUGAUCUUAUAUCUUGUUGCGGCGACUAUGGAGACCCCAUGAUUUGCCAGAAAGGACAAACCAAAUAUGAUAAAUAAAAUCUGGACAUCCUGUGAAAUUCUGGAAAAUUGAAAGAUUCACAUCUGAACUGAAGUUUUCUCUUUAAAUACACAAUUCUUGAAUUUACAAAAGGUUUGCAUGAGAGAAGUAUCUUCAUCCUGGGAAAGUCAUGAGCUACAGAUGUUCAUUCUGCAAAACUAAAUGUAUACGGUGGAGGACUUUGACCAUCACAUAUUUUCUACUUUGCAUUUUACCUAUCAGUCUGGGAAGAAACUGGUUGUCAGGGUAGUCUGUGAGAUAUUGCUUAAUAUAUUAUUGCCAAUUGCAGUUACCUUAGUAGCGAUGAAGUGUAUCAAAAACAAUGGUCAAGAAUCACAUAACAUCCUGCCUAACUGCUACAUUUGAUCCUUUGCAAUUCACAUAGAGGCCAAAUUGUUCUAUUGCAGCUCCCAUAGGCUAAACACAUCAUCACACCUUGGACCACCUGGAAAAUAGACUGUUAUGUACGCAUGCUGUUCAUAGACUUCAUCUCUUCCUUCAAUAUGGUAAUUCCACAACAGCUGCUGUUCAUGUUGAGUAAUCUAGGCAUAGAAAACAAGUUAUGCAACUGGAUCCUUGAGUUCCUGACUGAAAGGCCACAAAUAGUUUGAGCAGGAAAACAUCACUCAAACAGCAUCACCCUAAACACCACGGUCCCAAAAUGUUGUGUACUCGGUCCAUUUCUUUCACAGUUCUAACACAUGACUGCACAGCUACUCAUCAUUCAAACAGAAUCAUCAAAUUUGCAGAUGACACCACAGUAAUUGUCCUCAUCAAGGAGGAAGAUGAGGGGAGCUUACAGGCAGGAGGAUGAACCAACUCAUUCAUUGGUGCACUGACAACAACUUGGCACUAAAUGUUGGGAAAACCAUGAAAAUCAUCAAUUUUAGGAAGGAUAAUAAGCCACACACUCCUGGCAUCAGUGGUGUUGCAGUGGAGUGACUAAAUCGCACCAAAUUCCUAGAGGAAUAUUUCUCCCAGACUUAAGUUGGACCACAAACACUUCCUACCUUAUAAAGAGAGCCCAACAAUGUCUCCACUUCCUUAGGUGACUUGGUAGAGCUAAACUCUUGCCACAGGUACUACUUACCUUCUACAGAGCCAUGGCUGAGUGCCCACUGACAAACAACAUGAUUGCCUAAUGUGGAAAUUGCUCGCAGGCCGAUCAGAAGCCACUGGAUAAACAUUAAAUGGGACACAAAAAUCAUUGAUUCCAGCCUUCAGUCCCUACAGGAUAUAUUCACAGAGAUGCUAUGGGAGAGUCCGAAAACAAUUGAGGGGUAUACACCAUCCAGCUCAUGGACUGUUCAAACUCCUGCCAACAAGGAAGUGCUACAGAAUCAUUAGAUGCGGGACGUCCAGAUCCCAUAACUUCUUCCCACACACUAUCAGACUGCCAAAUAACAAACCCAUAGCUUAAUACGCUACAUGGUAAUGAUUCCACCACCUCCUCCCCCUACUGUGUCUCCUCCCCGUUUCUCAAUCUCUGCCUACUCUGCUUCUUCUCCCCCCUCAUUCUGCCACUAUGUCUCACUAGUACCUAUACCUGUUUGUAUUACUAGACUCUUCCGACCGUUCCCUUCCACAACACUCCAGUCUUCAGUCUAUACUCCUACUUCCAAUAUCUCCCUCCUCUUUCUGUACCCUGCCUCUUCCUUUCACUGCAUGCCUGGAUCACUCUCUUCCAUGUGCCUCACCACACUUGUACAUAUAUUAGUAAUUUUCCCUACCAAUGAAUUGAUUUUCAGUCUGCAUCCUGUGCUUAUAAGAUGCACAAUAGUAUAUUUCUGUUUGAAUUUUGUACAAUGUAUGAGGAGGAACAAAAUGAAUCUAUUUCUGCUGCAUGUACCUCCUUUUGAUUUUUAAAUGCUGUAUUGAUUGCAUGUGUAAAUACUUACUUUUUUCUUUACUGUUAUGGACCUUUUCUCCUUGAGUUUCUGCUGAAAAAUGGCACCUGUCCAGCCAGACAACCCAGUUAACAAAUGGCAAAGAAAUAAACAAAUGGCAAAUAAA